ensembl:snRNA U2 U2 spliceosomal RNA
AUCUCUUCUCGGCCUUUUGGCUAAGAUCAAGUGUAUUCAUGUCCAUUCCUUCAUUUAGUCAACAAAUACUUAUUGAGGGUUUAAAUGUGUCAAGCACUAUUGUAGUGUUUCCAACUUGAGGCUUAUAUUUUGCUUUGAAGACAAUAUAUGGACACUCUUC